rnacentral:rRNA from 1 species
UACCGAGGGUGCGAGCGUUAAUCGGAAUUACUGGGCGUAAAGCGCACGUAGGCGGCUUGGUAUGUCGGGUGUGAAAUCCCCGGGCUCAACCUGGGAACUGCAUCCGAAACUGCCUUGCUCGAGUAUGGGAGAGGGAAGUGGAAUUUCCGGUGUAGCGGUGAAAUGCGUAGAUAUCGGAAGGAACAGCAGUGGCGAAGGCGACUUCCUGGACCAAUACUGACGCUCAGGUGCGAAAGCGUGGGGAGCAAACAGG